rnacentral:rRNA from 1 species
GAUGAACGCUAGCGACAGGCCUAACACAUGCAAGUCGAGGGGCAGCACAUGAGUAGCAAUACGAUGGUGGCGACCGGCGCACGGGUGAGUAACACGUAUGCAACCUGCCUGUAAGCGGGGGAUAACCCGGAGAAAUCCGGACUAAUACCGCAUAAGACUUUAGUUCUGCAUGGGACAGAAGUUAAACAUUUAUGGCUUACAGAUGGGCAUGCGUAUGAUUAGAUAGUUGGUGAGGUAACGGCUCACCAAGUCAACGAUCAUUAGGGGUUCUGAGAGGAAGGUCCCCCAAACUGGUACUGAGACACGGACCAGACUCCGACGGGAGGCAGCAGUGAGGAAUAUUGGUCAAUGGGCGAGAGCCUGAACCAGCCAAGUCGCGUGAGGGAAGAAUGUCCUAUGGAUUGUAAACUUCUUUUGUACAGGAAUAAAGAUACAUACGUGUAUGUAGUUGUAUGUACUGUACGAAUAAGGAUCGGCUAACUCCGUGCCAGCAGCCGCAGUAAGAC